GACGGGACCCCGCACAAGCGGUGGAUCAUGUUGUUUAAUUCGAUGAUACGCGAAGAACCUUACCAGGUCUUGACAUCCCCGCGAUGCUUUAGAGAUAAAGCGGAGGUAUUCGGGGAGACAGGUGGUGCAUGGUUGUCGUCAGCUCGUGUCGUGAGAUGUUGGGUUAAGUCCCGCAACGAGCGCAACCCUUGCCUUUAGUUGCCAGCAGUUCGGCUGGGCACUCUAAAGGGACUGCCGGUGUUAAACCGGAGGAAGGUGGGGAUGACGUCAAGUCCUCAUGGCCUUUAUGACCAGGGCUACACACGUACUACAAUGGCCGAUACAAAGGGCAGCGACACUGCGAGGUGAAGCCAAUCCCGUAAAAUCGGUCUCAGUCCGGAUUGGAGUCUGCAACUCGACUCCAUGAAGUUGGAAUCGCUAGUAAUCGUGGAUCAGCAUGCCACGGUGAAUACGUUCCCGGGCCUU
rnacentral:rRNA from 1 species